UGGGGUUGUAGCUUAGUGGCAGAGCACUUGCCUCGCAUGUAUGGGACACUGGGUUUGAUUCUCAGCACCACAA
rnacentral:tRNA from 1 species